rnacentral:rRNA from 1 species
AUUGAACGCUGGCGGCAUGCCUUACACAUGCAAGUCGAACGGCAGCGCGGACUUCGGUCUGGCGGCGAGUGGCGAACGGGUGAGUAAUACAUCGGAACGUACCCUGUUGUGGGGGAUAACUAGUCGAAAGAUUAGCUAAUACCGCAUACGACCUGAGGGUGAAAGUGGGGGACCGCAAGGCCUCACGCAGCAGGAGCGGCCGAUGUCUGAUUAGCUAGUUGGUGGGGUAAAGGCCCACCAAGGCGACGAUCAGUAGCUGGUCUGAGAGGACGAUCAGCCACACUGGGACUGAGACACGGUCCAGACUCCUACGGGAGGCAGCAGUGGGGAAUUUUCCGCAAUGGGCGAAAGCCUGACGGAGC